ACUGUAGGGAUGGGCUGCCCUGAGGAGACACUGCCCAGGCCUGGGUGCCCCGGGCCAAAGUCCUGACCCUUGCAGGGCUGUGUCCUGUGGAUGACAUGUGGCACUGGACUGCUCACUGACAGGUCACACCCAUCUUCAGUCUCUGCUCACCAUGACAGAGUCACAGCCACACCCGGGACAGAACCUGGGCUCCGGGCAGCAGGUAAUAGGAGGAUAUUCUACCCAGGGCCGGAACAAGCCAGGUCCAGCCUCAACUGCUCUGUGGCUAGUAAGUGCGAGGAUGCUGUGUCACAGGUGUCACACGUCACUAAGAGAACGUCGUGGGCGCACGGGGAAUGUCUUUAUGGCACUGUCUGGAAGCAGGCUGCAUCUCAGCAGCUCCAGAGGUUACAGGGGCUGGUUUUCACCAACACAAGAAGUGUUAGAGACAGGAGACGUGGAGGAACCUGUCGAACCUGGUGGGGAUCGAGUUUAAACACAUCUGCACACACUUGGGUGUGUGUGUCCCAGCGCAUCUCAGCCCUGAGUGCCCACACCUGGCUUCCCUGCCCCCCCACCCCUCCUACCCCACAGUCCACACUGCCCCACACCUACUCGUGUCCAGAAAGCUCUCGCUGAGCCUCCUCCCACAUCAGCCACUCUUGGAGGACUGAGAAAACAGUGGUGGGGGGCCAGUUCCCAAAUCCAGGCGCUCCUGGCACAUCCAAAUCCGGGACGACUGACCAAGGGCUCGCACUCAGCCUGAGGAAGCAAGUGGUCCUUUGACUCGGAGUAAGAACUGCUCAGAGGCCAACGUGCUCUGGCUCGGGUCCCCCUGGCACCUCCAGGCAGGUCUUUCUAAUUUGGUUCCUGAACACGCUCCAGCUCCCAUCCUGAGGCCUGCCCUUGCCCUUCCCUCCCCCAUUGCUCUUCCCACCCUCCUCCCUUGCCAUUCCCUGUCCUCAUUGCUCUUCCCACCUUCCUCCUUCCGCUCCCUCUCAAGGCCCUGCCCUGUCUGGUUCACCAUCCUCCUCUCGUCCUCUCCUGGCUCCUCCCCAGAGCUUGGUGUUCAUUCGGACGCCUUCUCCCUGCAGCCUCCACCAGGGCCCUGGCUGCCCUCGCCCUCCAGCAAGUCACUGUAUUUUACGUUCUUCAUGGAGUUUUUUACUUUUGAGAUUUAUCAACUUUACAUGCAUGUUUGCUGCACCCCCUCACUAGAUUUCAUCUACAUGGGAACAGAGACCCCUCUGCUUUGCUCCCUGCUGUAAACAUCCCGGCUCGGGAAAGUCUCUAUCUACAGACACUGCUGGGUGCUGAGUUUCCAGAGCAGUCAAUGCGAUGUGCGACUCCGUGGUGAGAACUGAAGAUGCAUGAGGAUGAGGGGCGCUCGAUCCCUGUCCUCUGUGAUCUGGUACAACAGAAUCAACCCCUGCAUGGUGGGCCCCAGUGAGCAGCCUGCGGGAUGCACGGAGCCACCCAGAAACACGUGAACUCGGUGGCAGCAGCAGAGACAGAAACAUCUCACAGUACACCAGGAAUGAAAGUGUAAAAUACUUAGCAUUUGACAAGGUUUCCAGUUAUAUGUUCUUCUUUGAGCAUCAAAUGAGGGUCCCAUACCUAUUUCUGUGCUCAUGUUACAGACAGAAUGGAAACACAGAGAGUUACAGAGAUGUGAUCCAGGUGGGGGCUGGGAAGGGGCUUCCUGCAGAGGUUUAUACCCAGGCUCGUGGAGAAAAUGCCCUACGAGGGACCAAGCCAAGGACUCAAGCAAACGCAGGGAAUGAGACAGCGUUUCCAGGCCAGAAUGCGGGAGCCCUUCAGCAGAAUCAGGGGUUAGGAAGCUCGGUGACUUCAGGCAGGAAGGCGAUGGAACGGGAACAGGGUCUUUCUGUUUCACGUAGGCGAUGGAACGGGAAUGGGGGUCUUUACUUUUCACGCAGGUGAUGGAACAGGAACGGGGUCCUUCCAUGUGGGAAAUGCUGAGCCUGCGCUGCCAACCGCCUCCGGGUGAGACAUCUUGUGGACAGCUGGGACAGGCGGCAGAGUAAGAGGCAGUGGUUUAGAAGUCAAAUGCCCUUGGACAAUUGUGGAAGCUUUUGAUUUUAUUAUUUUAUUAUUAACUGAAAAAAAUAGAAAAUAGAAAAUAGAAAAAAAUAGAAUUGGAGAGGAGGAAUAAGUAGAUGUUUAGCAACAGAGCGUGCAAUGCAGCAGCACACUGAGAAAAGUAGCCCAGAAAGGACGGGGAGCUUCAGGAGGCGACAACUCACAAAUAUGACGGCCACUCACAGGCCAGUCCUGCAAACGACAGAUGACUCCAGGAGAGGCCGGGCGUGGUGGCUCACACCUGCAAUCCCAGCACUUUGGGAGGCUGAGGCAGGUGGAUCACCUGAGGUCAGGAGUUCGAGACCAGCCUGGCCAACAUGGCGAAACCCCGUCUCUACUAAAAAUACAAAAAUUAGCCGGGCGUGGUGGCGGGCACCUGUAAUCUCAGCUACUCGGGAGGCAGAGGCAGGAGAAUUGCUUGAACCUGGGAGGCAGAGGUUGCAGUGAGUCGAGAUCAUGCCAUUGCAAUUCAGCCUGGGCAACAGGGCGAGACUCCAUCUCGAAAACAAAACAAAACAAAACAAAUGACUUGAGGAGACGGCUUCAGAAAAUACUGUUGUGUUUGGUGACUGAGUGGUUAUUCAUGUUCUUGGACAAUGCUUUCCAAAUGUUAGUUUGCCUACAGGUCACGCAAACAUCCUGCAUGUGAAGGCAGACUCCGGAGGUCUGGGAAGCACUGGGUUUUGGGUUUUUUUGUAUAAAAGCUUCCAGAUGGCACUGAUGCUGCCUGUCAGGGGACUACACCUUGACAAGCCUGUAGAGACUGUGUUAGAAGGGCAGGGUGAACACCAGAUCCCGUAGCGAGGUAAGGGGUAAGCAGGUGUGAGGAGGCAGGGCAGACACAUGGCCGCCUUCUAGGAGUCUGAGAGUGGAGAUUAGGAUAAUAGAAGCUUAAUGGCAUUUUAAGGUUAAAGAUCUUAUUUUUUGCUUUGUAUUGAUUUUGGACGGAUGAGUCCUGGAAAAAUUAAUUGCCAAGGGUCACUUGGAAGAGAGUGGGUGCCGUGACAUCGGUGGGGUCACCCAAUGUCAGACUGGCGAGCAUUUUGAGUUGCCCGUAACUGUUGUGCCUCAAGCUCCUGGUGUUCCCGGAGGCUGUGCCCUGGAGGCCCGUUGCAGAGAACACGGAGGCACAUUCUCCUGCUGUGAAGUCAGCCCAGGCAAGGCAGGCGUGGCAGCCUGUACCAUUGGUGUGGCCACGGGGCCGAGAGGGCAGGAAACAGAGAGAGGGAGGUUGGUUUCAUGUUGCAAAAUGCCGGAUGAGUGGGCAAACCCCCCGCAAUUCUGUCUGGCCAAAUUAUACUUUUAGGUUCAGGCCUAUACUUUAUAUUUUAAAAGCUCAAAUUAUUUUAUAAUCUCCUGAAAAUACAUCAUCUUGCCAUUUGCUUUCAAUACUGCACUGCGACCUUUUAUAAUCUUUCAAAAACAUGUUCUCCCUUUGGAUAAAUGAGAAAAUAAAUAGUAUUCAGUGAAGACCAACUACUGAAUUAUUUUAAAAUAUCUUGUUUAUAAAAGGUUUUUACCAGUGAGAGGAUUUAAGAGUUGCUUGGCUCUUGAAGCCAGCAGAGACUUCUGUGUGCAUUGCUUCAUUUGUGGGGGAGGACUCUAGCCCCACAUGGCAGAUGAAAAACUGUGCCUCGGAGGAGUUAAGCGAAUUGCUGAGGAUGGUACCACAGAGAGCGACUGAGGCGACAGCCAGCAUCCAGCCUCCAGAGUUCCACUGUGCUUCCCCAAAGACAGGCGGGCUCUCCUCAAGCACAUUUUUACUUUAGGAGCUGCUGAAACUGGGGUGUGGACCACGGGAUCCCCCCUGACCAGCCUCAAGCCCGAGCCUGCGAUUCUCUCAUCCGCACUUCACCAGCUGAGGUGAAGGGUGGGCCUCCAUUUUGGUUGAAUUACAUUCUCUCUCACAGAACCAUCUGGAAACCCCAUCACCUUAAUAAUUCAGUGUUGUUUGAUGCUGUGAAAGGUGAAAAAGACUUCAAUUCUUACUACCAAAUUGUGCUGGGGAGUGACACAGAUAGUCAGUCUCUCAGCAGCACGCACACCCUGUUAGAAGGGGGUAUGGUUUUUACUUUCCGCUUAUUCCCGGCAAAUCCUGUGGCUUCCACUAAGCAAGGAUGUCCUCUGAGCACCCUGACCCUCCCGAUUCCCGUGCACCGCCCCAGCCUCCGCUGUCGCCUGCCCUCCACCUGGCGCCUCCGUUAUUUACUUGUUCCCCAGGUUCAGUCUCGGGCGGCCUCGGCUUUCUCCACGUCUUCUCCCUGCACAGUGGCAACGCUUCCAGAACCCCAGCUGCUCUAACACCAGGCCCAGCUCCUCCAACCCAAGCGUCUCUACCCAACUGUGGGAUCUGUCCGCACCUCCAGAUGGGGAGGCCCACGUCUCCGUGUCACCUGAGGGCGGGUGUGUUUAGAAGCAUGCUUUUGCAUCUCCACCACUGGAGACACAGGGACUUGGGGUGUGUACGUUUUGUGAAAACUCAAACAUGGGCCUCACCUUUUGGUUUUAUGGAUGUGAACCACGUCCCUGCAGUCAUCAGAGUGGAAUGCUGCUAGCGGCUGGCCCUAGGCUGAGUGUUUGACCGGGAAUACCCACACACUUCUCUCAACUAACCCGUGAGGUUGGCAUGUUCAGUACCUGGGGAGAAAGUGGGGUAACAAUGACAGGACUAAAGCCCACAGCCUGGGGCCUGGCACCUGGCAAGUGCCCUCUGGGUGUUGGUGGAGUUCUUACUUGGAUGACUUUAAUCAUUACAGAGGCUCCCUAAGGCCACACAGCUGGUAGGGGCUCUGGCCCCGUCUCAUCUCACUCCAGAGCCCCAGGUGAGUGCAAGGCAGAACCUCUAUGUUUCUGUCUCAGAUUCUUCUCAUUGCUUUGUUUUUCUCAAAACAUUUCAUUUUAUCAAUGAUGAAUACUAAAAUUAGAUUAUUUUCUUUUUGUUGAAACUAUAUGUAUUGAUUUUUUGUCUUUGGAGUUGUCAUAAAACACCUGUGGUCAAAUCCAGGCCCUUCCAGUUACCAGCAAUGUGACCCUCUGCACGCUAAUCACCUCCCUGAUGACUCAGUUUCCCCAUCUGUAAAGGAGAAGCAAUGGAAGUACUGGGCAGUUUAAAUAACAUAAAUGUUGCAGAACACUUGGUACAUGGCCAGACAUGCAGUAGGUAUUCCAUAAAGGAAGCUAUUUGUAUUUUUUGUUUCAAAUUCUAUUCCAUGGUGAACGUUUGUUUACUGUCUCAGAUGUGAUGUGAGAUUCCAUUUUGAAUAGCUUUCAGGAAUGUGACACGAAAUUAUCUUCCUUCUUCCAUCAGCUAAAAACUACUGUAUAAAUGUUUCAAGCUCUGCUCCCCCUACUCUUACCAAUGAUAAACAUGCCCCUAGGUUUCCCCUACAGCCACCCCAGCUCCUCGCUCUACAUCUCCCUCUCCCCACCGCCACCUUCCGCCCCUGCCCUGCGGCUCCCACCGCCCCUGCCCUGCUGCUCCCACCGCCCCUGCUCUGCUCUGCUGCUCCUUCCGCCCCUGCCCUGCGGCUCCUACGGCCCCUGCCCUGCUGCUCCUUCCGCCCCCGCCCCGCUGCUCCUUCCGCCCCCGCCCCGAGGCUCCUUCCGCCCCUAUCGCUCUGCUCCUUCCGCCCCUGCCCGGCGGCUCCUUCCGCCCCUGCCGCUCUGCUCCUUCCACCCCUGCUCUGCUGCUCUGGGCUUUCCCCGAGGCUUUGCUGCCCACACUCUUCUUGCUCGUCAGACCCACCAAGGUUGCAGAGAAAGGCAGACAGCAGCAGAUGGCUAGGAAACGAAUACUCAACAAUAGGGUGAUUUCAGAACUAAAUUCCAAAGAAUUCAGCCUACAGAGCAAAAACUCAC
rnacentral:lncRNA from 1 species